rnacentral:rRNA from 1 species
GUCGAGCGGAGUUAUUCCUUCGGGGAUAACUUAGCGGCGGACGGGUGAGUAACACGUAGGCAACCUGCCUGUAAGAUCGGGAUAACUACCGGAAACGGUAGCUAAGACCGAAUAAUCAGCUUGAUCGCAUGAUCGGGCUGGGAAAAGCGGAGCAAUCUGCUACUUACAGAUGGGCCUGCGGCGCAUUAGCUAGUUGGUGAGGUAACGGCUCACCAAGGCGACGAUGCGUAGCCGACCUGAGAGGGUGAACGGCCACACUGGGACUGAGACACGGCCCAGACUCCUACGGGAGGCAGCAGUAGGGAAUCUUCCGCAAUGGACGCAAGUCUGACGGAGCAACGCCGCGUGAGUGAUGAAGGUUUUCGGAUCGUAAAGCUCUGUUGCCAGGGAAGAACGCUUAGGAGAGUAACUGCUCUUAAGGUGACGGUACCUGAGAAGAAAGCCCCGGCUAACUACGUGCCAGCAGCCGCGGUAAUACGUAGGGGGCAAGCGUUGUCCGGAAUUAUUGGGCGUAAAGCGCGCGCAGGCGGCUUUGUAAGUCUGGUGUUUAAACCUAGGGCUCAACCCUGGGUCGCAUUGGAAACUGCAAGGCUUGAGUGCAGAAGAGGAGAGUGGAAUUCCACGUGUAGCGGUGAAAUGCGUAGAGAUGUGGAGGAACACCAGUGGCGAAGGCGACUCUCUGGGCUGUAACUGACGCUGAGGCGCGAAAGCGUGGGGAGC